AGGAUCAUUAUCGUACAAAAUGUGUGAGGCAUGCGAGGGGCUGUCGCUGACUUUUAACACAAAAGUCGUGCACGCCUGAGCAUGUCCUCCCACAUAAAAUCCAUCUCACCCUUUUGUGCACCACCGCGUGGGCACCCUUCGGGAUUGAACCGAUCCGGGAGGGGGCUUGCGUUUUCACACAAACCCCUUUUUAAAAGUGUAGAAUGACCUCAUUUUUGCGAUAACACGCAAUCAAUACAACUUUCAACAACGGAUCUCUUGGCUCUCGCAUCGAUGAAGAACGCAGCGAAAUGCGAUACGUAAUGUGAAUUGCAGAAUUCAGUGAAUCAUCGAAUCUUUGAACGCACCUUGCGCCCCUUGGUAUUCCGAGGGGCACACCCGUUUGAGUGUCGUGAAAACCUCAACCUCCCYGGUUUCUUCUGGACACCGAAGGAGGCUUGGACUUUGGAGGCCUUUGCUGGUGUCUCUCUUUUGAAACCCAGCUCCUCUUAAAUGAAUUAGCGGGGUCCUCAUUGCCGAUCCUUGACGUGUGAUAAGAUGUUUCCAUGUCUUGGUUUCUGGCUCUGUUGCCUUUGGGACCUGCUUCUAACCGUCUCAACCUCACAUCGAGAC
rnacentral:rRNA from 1 species